rnacentral:rRNA from 1 species
CCUACGGGAGGCUGCAGUGAGGAAUAUUGGUCAAUGGGCGCUAGCCUGAACCAGCCAAGUAGCGUGAAGGAUGACUGCCCUAUGGGUUGUAAACUUCUUUUAUAUGGGAAUAAAGUGCUGUAUGUAUACUGCUUUGCAUGUACCUUAUGAAUAAGGAUCGGCUAACUCCGUGCCAGCAGCCGCGGUAAUACGGAGGAUCCGAGCGUUAUCCGGAUUUAUUGGGUUUAAAGGGAGCGUAGGCGGGUUGUUAAGUCAGUUGUGAAAGUUUGCGGCUCAACCGUAAAAUUGCAGUUGAUACUGGCAGCCUUGAGUACAGUAGAGGUAGGCGGAAUUCGUGGUGUAGCGGUGAAAUGCUUAGAUAUCACGAAGAACUCCGAUUGCGAAGGCAGCCUGCUGGACUGUAACUGACGCUGAUGCUCGAAAGUGUGGGUAUCAAACAGGAUUAGAUACCCUAGUAGUC